CGGACUUUCGAGAGCUCCGUAAUCGGCACAAUAAUAAAUUGAUUCAAUUUUGUAAGUUUAUUAUCAAUUCAACAAGCAUCUCCGUUUACUUCAUGUUGAGCGUAUUUAAUAAUAUCAAUAUUAAAGUUAGUCAAAACGGAUUUCAAUUUAAGAAAAAAUGAUAUAAAAAUCGGACUUUCGAGUGCUCCGUAAUCGGCGGAAUUUACAAUAGAAGAACAAUUGCGAUAUUUGAUAGAAACCUUUCUUCUUCUCGAUUUUUCAUAAAGGUAAAGAAUUAAAUUAUUUUUUUACUUUUGAUGGUCAUUAUUCUUGAAAAAAGAUGUAAUAGACUGGCAAGUCUUUGAUAUUUUCUUCUUGUCAUUUCCGAGUUGGUCAAUUUUUCUUUUUUUCGUCGGCAUUUUGCGUGUUGACCUAUUGGAAUGAUUCUUUUUAAAUGAACGUUAUUUUAUAAAUAACAAAUACAUUAGAAAUGAACACCGUUCACAUUUAUUUUAUAAAUUCUAUUUUGCAUCGUCAGGUGUUAAAAUAAUCAAUUCAUUUAACUUCGAUGUUUGGUGCUUCAGGGCAAAGGGAUUAGACAGGGUCGUAAAUUUCACCUGAUUAAGUAAUUGACUCUAAUCAAAUAGGUGAUUAUAUACAGGUAACAAGUGUCAACAAUUUUAAUCUGUUGUCUUAAUGAAGUGUGUGUAUAAAGAACUCAACAAAAUGGCGACGAUAUGAGGAAAAAAGAUCGUUUUUUAAACUUUUUUUCAAAAGGGCACAGAGGGGCGCAGGGGCGCUUAAAAAAGGCAGAGGGGGCAAAAUUUCGGGGGCGGGGCGCGGCGCCCCUCCAUUUCAUGCUAGCUGGAACACUGUUAUUAAAUUUUAUAAAUUGUCCUUUAACCAGAAAAACCCUUGUUUUCCCCCUUUUUUGUCCAUAAUUGCUAACUGAUUUGAACCAUAAACCUCCCCUCCCCGAUUACCAUCCCUUUUGUAGCAUGGAAACUUGUGGUAUAAUAUCAGAGAGAUUUAUACACUUAAACACAAGUUAUUGACUGAAAACAAUGCUUAUUUCUGCCCCUUUUUUGGCCCCAAAUUCCUACACAUUUGGGACCUUAACCCCUAAAAUCAAUCCAAACCUUCUACCUGUGGUAUUAAACAUUGUGGUACAAUUUCAGAGCAAUUGAAAUGCUUAGACACAAGUUGAUAUCCUGAAAGUAGAAAAAUACUUGUUUUGAGCCCCUAAUUCCAAAACCGUCGGGACCAUCAUCCCCAAAAUCAAUC
rnacentral:lncRNA from 1 species